UACGUAGGGUGCGAGCGUUAAUCGGAAUUACUGGGCGUAAAGCGUGCGCAGGCGGUUUUGCAAGGCAGAUGUGAAAGCCCCGGGCUCAACCUGGGAAUUGCAUUUGAAACUACAAGGCUAGAGUGUGUCAGAGGGGGGUAGAAUUCCACGUGUAGCAGUGAAAUGCGUAGAGAUGUGGAGGAAUACCGAUGGCGAAGGCAGCCCCCUGGGAUAACACUGACGCUCAUGCACGAAAGCGUGGGGAGCAAACAGG
rnacentral:rRNA from 1 species